UGUUCCCCACCCGCGAUGGGGCGGGGGCACCACCCGGCGGGCAGGGCGCUGAGCACCGCUCCUGGAGAACGGGGGUCCGCGGAGCGGGGUGUCCUCCCGCUCUCUGCCCCCAGCCACCCCUCCAUCACCCCUUCCCUCGGAUCCCCAGGGCCAAUGCUGUCCCCGGAGCCGCGCCCCCCCCCUCCAGCCCUGGGCUGUGGGCGCUGCGUGGCCGUGUCGGCGGUGUCCCCCCCCGCGGCGGUGGCGGGGGCACGGCUGGCAUUGCUCGCUGACACCCUAUCUGCCAGGGCCACGCCAGCGCGGGCCCAGAAUAGCAGCGCUGCCCCGCAGAUAGUCGGCAUGGAGCGGCUCCGCGGCCCCGCUGUGUCCCAGGUGGCGCUGCUGGAUACUGCUUCCUGCCCUGAGGAGGAAGAGUUCCCGGAGGCCCUAUGCCCCAGGGAGGAGGAAGAGGAGGAGGAAGAAUACAGGCAAAGGAGAUCUGUCACCUUCACACUGGGAAAUGAGAUACUGGGGCUGGGCCCAGAAAGUGAGUUUCAGAGCCCUGACGCCGAGGUCUACAUGCACUUCUUACGGAGCCACUGCUGCUAUGAUGCCAUCCCCACGAGCUGCAAGCUUGUCGUCUUCGACAUCUCCCUGGAGCAGAUCAAGAAAGCCUUUGUGGCACUGGUGGCCAAUGGGGUGCGCGCUGCCCCACUCUGGGAUAGCAAGACACAGAGCUUUGUGGGGAUGCUCACCAUCACCGACUUCAUCAACAUCCUACACCGUUACUACCGCUCACCCCUGGUUCAAAUCUACGAGGUGGAGGAGCACAAGAUUGAGACAUGGAGAGAGGUGUACCUGCAGAGCUCCUUCAAGCCAUUGGUCUACAUCUCCCCAAGCAAUAGCCUCUUUGAUGCUGUCUACUCCCUGAUCAAGCAUAAAAUCCACCGCCUGCCUGUCAUCGAGCCUGUCUCGGGCAAUGUCCUGCACAUCCUGACGCACAAGCGCAUCCUCAAGUUUCUCCACAUCUUUGGCUCUACCAUUCCCAAGCCACGCUUCCUGAAAAAAACGGUGCAAGAGCUGCGCAUUGGCACCUUUCGUGACCUGGCUGUCGUGCCUGAGACUGCCCCGAUCUACACUGCCUUGGAGAUCUUCGUGGAUCGCCGUGUCUCUGCCUUGCCCGUCAUCAAUGAUGCUGGGCAAGUGGUUGGCUUGUACUCCCGGUUUGAUGUCAUUCACCUGGCAGCUCAGAAGACCUACAACAACCUGGACAUCAGUGUGCGAGAGGCACUGCGGCAGCGCAGUAUCUGCCUGGAGGGGGUCAUCACCUGCUACCCCCAUGAGCACAUGGAGGACAUCAUUGACCGCUUUGCCAAGGAGCAGGUCCAUCGCCUGGUUCUGGUAGACGAGAACCGGUACCCGCGGGGCAUCGUCUCCCUCUCUGACGUCCUCCAGGCCCUUGUGCUCACUCCCGCAGGUAUCGAUGCUCUUAACUCUUAGCCCACGGCGCUCCAUCUUUCUUCACUUGCACUCUCCAUUUCUCUUCACUUCAGGCAUCCAUCAAUCCUCGCUCUGAAGACACCAGGAAGUGCCACUGUCUUGUCUGACUCGGGGGUCUCUUGCAUGGCCUGUGAGAAGGAGGCUUUGGCCUGAAGGCUCUCCGCAGGGAGGAUCUGCCUGUUCACGCCAGUCCUGGGGCUCGUCUUGAGUCCAGAGCCAGAUCCUGCCAGCCUUGGGGAGGUAGAAAGUGUGGAAAAGGGGGCCCAGGGGUGCCUCCUGCCAGUGAGCACACAGUGAUGCUUGAUGGGCACUGUGCUGGAGGAGCCAUUACAUGCCUGUGGCUGGGCACAGAGACCCACACAGCCCCAGAAGACCUGGUCACCCCACUCCCAUCCUGCUGCUGGAUUUGAGCAUUUCCACUGUUGCUCCCUCCCACCAUCUGUGCCUGGUGCCUGGUAGCAUAGGCUGAGCUGCACACACAGGCUUGCUUAUUGUAGGGUCACAUGGGGCUUGAGCUCCCUGGCAGAGGCACAGCCUGUGCCAGAGCUGGCACCAGGAUGGGCACUUGCAUGGGGACCCUCUGCACGUUUUGGGGUGGGCAGGGGAUAUUUAUUUAUUUAUUGGUCUGUUCAGCCUCGUUGUAACAAAGAGUCUGAUCCAAGAA